AGGCAAGAAACCUGCUGUGCCUGAGAUCCUAUUUCCAAGGAAAGGGUCACAGAAAGGCGAUAACAAGGGAGAGGGCUGAUGUCUGACUGCCAGUAUUAAGUGUAAAGCAGAGCCAUUUUGCCAAGAACAAUACAGCCUGUGGAACACGGCAGAAAAGUGCCUCGCUAACAACUCAGUUUCUGACCUACUUUAAUAGUGCUAAAAUAAUAAAGACAAAGUCUUAACACUCAACAUUAAAUACCUGUUCCAUGAAUGCAGGCACUCUUCUACACAAGAAGGAAUAAUACACUAAAACUAUAAUUAUAUAAAUUUUAGGUACUGAUCUUGGUGACUGAAGUAGGGAUAAAAAAAAACUAUAUAAAUUCAAAGAAGCAAUGGUUACUGUAAAAGAGGACUCCUAUUUCUGAGUGGGAGACUGUUUUUAUCUUAAUUUAUAACAUGACAAAGUUGUUGGUAGUUUUUGGUUUGUUUUUUAAAGUCAAGACUGAGCUUUAGAAAACCUGGGUUCAAACUCUGAUACUAUCACCUCCUAACUGGUGUUUUCAGCUAAGACAUUUAAACUCGCUGAUCUCAAGCUCUUUGUCUCUAAAACAGGGAUAACAAGGGUUUUCCUUUCCACACCUCAGAGGCAAUGGCAUGAAAUUAGCUUGUCAAAAAUGCAAUGAAAAAAAAAUGUAUAAUGGUAUGGAAUUAACAAUGUUGAAGACACUGGUAGACUGUGGCCAACAAAACAAAAUACAAACAUUCAGAUGGGCUAAAAGUUUAUUUCACAUUUAUAGUGAGAGGAUAGCCUUUCUCCUCCACGAGGCUUGAGUAGUUGAGGAUGGAUACGCUAACUGAAUGGAAAAUGAAUUUAGAGAAUACUGGGUCCAAGAUUAUUCAAGGAGAACCACUAUGAAUUUUACUAAAGGCAAAUUUAAGCAUCAGUAAACUACAUACCUUUUUCUCUUUUCAGACCUGCAUUAUUUGCAAACCACGAUCUGGACGUCCCAAACAUUGCAGCCACGCAAAAUUCUCCGCCCAUUGAUUUGCUGGGUGAAAUUUGUGGAGGUGGUUUAACUUUGCUUAAAAAAUAAAAUGAUAGUAAGAAA
rnacentral:lncRNA from 1 species